rnacentral:rRNA from 1 species
AACGAACGCUGGCGGCAUGCCUAACACAUGCCAGUCGAACAAGACCUUCGGGUCUAGUGGCGCACGGGUGCGUAACGCGUGGGAACCUGCCCUUAGGUUCGGAAUAACUCCCCGAAAGGGGUGCUAAUACCGGAUAAUGUCUUCGGACCAAAGAUUUAUCGCCUUUGGAUGGGCCCGCGUUGGAUUAGCUAGUUGGUAGGGUAAAAGCCUACCAAGGCGACGAUCCAUAGCUGGUCUGAGAGGAUGAUCAGCCACACUGGGACUGAGACACGGCCCAGACUCCUACGGGAGGCAGCAGUGGGGAAUAUUGGACAAUGGGCGAAAGCCUGAUCCAGCAAUGCCGCGUGAGUGAUGCAGGCCUUAGGGUUGUAAAGCUCUUUUACCCGGGAUGAUAAUGACAGUACCGGGAGAAUAAGCACCGGCUAACUCCGUG